CCCACUGAUAAUAAACGUAAUGCGUGAUUUCAUCGUCUUUGGUGAAUGGUCCAACACCUGGGUGAGGUAACACAUCCUAUUGGCAUUGUACUAGAAACGCGAUAUAUUAACCUGUAGCUGUAGCUGUAUUAUAUGGUGAAUCCUGAAGUUGGAGUUCAGUGAGAAGAUGGGACUUUGGAAUAGAAGAAUAACACAGGACACUGAAACUGUAGAUUUAUUUUAUACCUCUUUUCCUGUAGUGGGUUCAGUUGCCAAGUAGGUAUAGGAGUAUAUAUGUAUGAAGAAGAACUUCCCUGUUUAGUCCCCCAUCGGCCCCAUGGGACACGAGUCUUUUUUUUGCACAGCAUGAUUCACCAAUACUGAUACCCAAGCAGAAGAAAAAGAAGAAUGAGGAUACGGAUGGCACCCAAAUACGAGUAUAGAGUCAAGCGACUGAGAGUAAUGCUUAAAUUUAAAAAAGUUAGUCAACUUUAACCGUACACCGUACACUGGAAUGGUGAUGUCAUUAUUUUAGAUUACUUGCAG